rnacentral:rRNA from 1 species
UACGUAGGGACCAAGCGUUGUUCGGAUUUACUGGGCGUAAAGGGCGCGUAGGCGGCAAUUCAAGUCAGCUGUGAAAUCUCCGGGCUUAACUCGGAACGGUCAGCUGAUACUGCUUUGCUAGAGUGCAGAAGGGCAAUCGGAAUUCUUGGUGUAGCGGUGAAAUGCGUAGAUAUCAAGAGGAACACCUGAGGUGAAGACGGGUUGCUGGGCUGACACUGACGCUGAGGCGCGAAAGCGUGGGGAGCAAACAGG